rnacentral:lncRNA from 1 species
AGCUUGCAUUUUAAUUACAAACAAAGUAGCAGAAAUCAGGAGAAGUAACAUUGGUGAUUAUUUAUUUCAAGAAUCAUGACUGGAAAAAGCUUGGAAGUUUAGUAGAGGAGUAUAUGUUGUACAUGCAAAGACAAGAUCUGCAUGAAUCUAUGUAUUUCUGGGUGUCUGGUGAAGGCCACUUUAGGUGACUGGCCAGAGAAGGAGGUGCCCUAGUGAUCCUUGAGUCACAGCCAUACUGCUAGGACCAUGACUACCAUACCAAGAAAAGGCAGCAGCCACCUGCCUGGCAGUUUGCACACCUGUAAACUGAAGCUGCAGGAGGACCGGCGACAGCAAGAAAAAUCUGUCAUUGCUCAACCCAUAUUUGUUUUUGAAAAGGGAGAACAAACUUUUAAGAGACCUGCAGAAGACACCCUGUAUGAAGCAGCAGAACCAGAAUGUAAUGGUUUUCCAACAAAGCGUGUACGGUCUUCAUCUUUUACUUUUCAUAUUACAGAUUCUCAGUCCCAGGGAGUGAGGAAAAACAAUGUUUUUAUGACAUCAGCUCUUGUGCAAAGUAGUGUUGAUAUAAA